rnacentral:tRNA from 1 species
AACUGUUUAACUAAAGAUAAGUCUGUGUUUUGAAAACACAAAAUAAUUGUUCAAUUCAAUUAAUAGUUU